rnacentral:rRNA from 1 species
GAUGAACGCUGGCGGCGUGCCUAACACAUGCAAGUCGAACGGCCGGACAGUAAGAUUUUGUUCUUAAGGUUGGCGGGUGGCGGGCGGGUGACGCGUGGAUAAGCAACUUAUUUUUCGGGGAGGAUAACGGAAAGCAGGUUACGAUAAUAGAGAAUAUGUUGUACCGGUGGGAGCAAAGGAUAUUGGCGCCUUUCGUGAUUGAAUUAGACGGUGUCGGGUUAGCUAGUUGGGAGGGUAACGGCCCACCAAGGCAACGAUACGUAGCUGGCCUGAGAGGAUGAUCAGCCACACUGGAACUGAGACACGGUCCAGACUCCUACGGGAGGCAGCAGUGGGGAAUAUUGGACAAUGGGCGCAAGCCUGAUGCAGCAACGCCGCGUGGGUGAUGAAGGUCUUCGGAUUGUAAAACCCUGUUGUUAGGGAAGAAAAGCUGUGUAAUUAACUGCGGAUGUUCUGACGGUACCUAAUGAAAAAGCACCGGCUAACUUCGUG